GUAGGUGAACCUGCGGAAGGAUCAUUGU
rnacentral:rRNA from 1 species